AUUGAAUGCUGACGGCGUGGAUGAGGCAUGCAAGUCGAACGGAAUCGAAAGAUUCAGUGGCGGAAGGGUUAGUAAUACAUGGGUAACUUACCUCUAACACUGGGAUAACGGUUGGAAACGACCGCUAAUACUGGAUAUGGUGAGCUGAAGGAUUCUUUAGCUUAUUAAAGUGGGGGAUCGCAAGACCUUGCGGUUAGAGAGGGGCCCAUGGGAUAUCAGCUUGUUGGUGAGGUAACGGCUCACCAAGGCUAAGACGUCUAGGCGGGGUGAGAGAUCGACCGCCAACACUGGGACUGAGAACUGCCCAGACUCCUACGGGAGGCUGCAGUCGAGAAUCAUUCGCAAUGGGCGCAAGCCUGACGAUGCGACGUCGUGUGAACGAAGAAGGCCUUCGGGUCGUAAAGUUCUUUCGCCUGUGAACAAGAGAGGCUGGCUAAUAUCCAGCUGAUUUGAGGGUACUAGGUAAAGAACCACCGGCUAACUCCGUGCCAGCAACUGCGGUAAUACGGAGGGUGCAAGCAUUAAUCGGAUUUAUUGGGUGUAAAGGGCGCGUAGGCAGGGAUAAUACUCAGAUGUGAAAUCCUGGGGCUCAUCCUCAGAACUGCAUUUGAAACUGUAUCUUUAGAGGGUAGGCGGAGAAAACGGAAUUCCACAAGUAGCGGUGAAAUGCGUAGAUAUGUGAAAGAACACCGGUGGCGAAGGCGGCUUUUCUAGCUUAUUCCUGACGCUAAGGCGCGAAAGCAAGGGGAUCAAACAGGAUUAGAUACCCUGGUAGUCCUUGCUGUAAACGAUGUAUACUUGGUGUAACUGGACUCAACCCCGGUUGUGCCGAAGCUAACGCGUUAAGUAUACCGCCUGGGAAGUACGUACGCAAGUAUGAAACUCAAAAGAAUUGACGGGGACCCGCACAAGCAGUGGGGCAUGUGGUUUAAUUCGAUGCAACGCGAAGAACCUUACCCAGACUUGACAUACAGUGGACCGCACUAGAAAUGGUGCUUCCCUUCGGGGCUGCUGUACAGGUGCUGCAUGGCUGUCGUCAGCUCGUGCCGUGAGGUGUUGGGUUAAGUCCCGCAACGAGCGCAACCCUUGUCACUAGUUGCCAACAUUUAAGGUGGGAACUCUAGUGAGACUGCCUGGGUUAACCAGGAGGAAGGUGAGGAUGACGUCAAGUCCGCAUGGCCCUUAUGUCUGGGGCUACACACGUGCUACAAUGGUCGGUACAGAAGGCAGCUAAGCCGUGAGGUGGAGCAAAUCCUAGAAACCGAUCCCAGUUCGGAUUGUAGUCUGCAACUCGACGACAUGAAGUUGGAAUUGCUAGUAAUGGCGUGUCAGCAACAACGCCGUGAAUACGUUCCCGGGUCUUGUACACACCGCCCGUCACAUCAUGGGAGUUGGUCUUACCCGAAGUCGCUGACUUAACCGCAAGGGGAGAAGCGCCGAAGGUAAGGCUGAUGAUCUGGGAUG
rnacentral:rRNA from 1 species